ACUCAGGCUCUCUGGGUAGCAGACAUGGCCUGAGUGAUUUCAUUUACUACUGAGAGGACAGUGAGUGCCCCGGGCUGCCUCCCAGAGUGGCUGGCCCUUACCUAGGGCACCUGGUGGAUGCUCUAACCCUCAGGAUUCACUUUUCACCAUGAGAUAUUGACUCCUUUAAAUUUCUGCCUGUGUCCUAUUUUAAAAGUGGCUCUGCUGGAUGGACAAGUGGUGGAAGGAAAUUUGGAAUAAGCAACAGAGAUUCUGGUUGUCUUCAGUAAAAAACUAUGCAUUGGGGCCGGGCGUGGUGGCUGACGCCUGUAAUCCCAACAUUUUGGGAGGCCGAGGCGGGUGGAUCACCUGAGGUCAGGAGUAAAAAAAAAAAUUACUCAAUGAAAUGUAAGUCAGAUUGUGCUGAUGAUGGACUGCCUUUACCAUCCAUCCUUCUGUAAGGUCUACAUACCCUAUCCCUUGGUUCCUCUGGCAGCCGCGUUUACCACUGAGAUGCUUAGCAAUAUCUCAAUAGUGACCCCAAACAAAAAUGACCAAAACAGCAUUAAUAUAAAGAUAUAUUCCAUAAAAGAGUUUGGCAGUCAAAGAGAAGCAUCAC
rnacentral:lncRNA from 1 species